GAUGAACGCUAGCUACAGGCUUAACACAUGCAAGUCGAGGGGCAGCAUGGUCUUAGCUUGCUAAGGCCGAUGGCGACCGGCGCACGGGUGAGUAACACGUAUCCAACCUGCCGUCUACUCUUGGACAGCCUUCUGAAAGGAAGAUUAAUACAAGAUGGCAUCAUGAGUCCGCAUGUUCACAUGAUUAAAGGUAUUCCGGUAGACGAUGGGGAUGCGUUCCAUUAGAUAGUAGGCGGGGUAACGGCCCACCUAGUCUUCGAUGGAUAGGGGUUCUGAGAGGAAGGUCCCCCACAUUGGAACUGAGACACGGUCCAAACUCCUACGGGAGGCAGCAGUGAGGAAUAUUGGUCAAUGGGCGCAGGCCUGAACCAGCCAAGUAGCGUGAAGGAUGACUGCCCUAUGGGUUGUAAACUUCUUUUAUAAAGGAAUAAAGUCGGGUAUGUAUACCCGUUUGCAUGUACUUUAUGAAUAAGGAUCGGCUAACACCGU
rnacentral:rRNA from 1 species